rnacentral:rRNA from 1 species
GAUGAACGCUGGCGGCGUGCCUAACACAUGCAAGUCGAACGAAGCGCUGUAACCGGAAUUCUUCGGAAGGAAAGAUGCAGUGACUGAGUGGCGGACGGGUGAGUAACGCGUGGGCAACCUGCCUUACACAGGGGGACAACAGCUGGAAACGGCUGCUAAUACCGCAUAUGCGCACAGGGCCGCAUGGCCUGGUGCGGAAAACUCCGGUGGUGUAAGAUGGGCCCGCGUCUGAUUAGGUAGUUGGCGGGGUAACGGCCCACCAAGCCGACGAUCAGUAGCCGGCCUGAGAGGGUGGACGGCCACAUUGGGACUGAGACACGGCCCAA